ACAGUGAGUGACUUCCGCUAAACCAGUGUUUCAGAACUAACAGACAAAACACAACACAAAUUCAGAUUGUUUCCUACGCGUCUUAAAUUUUAUCUUCGAGGUUGCAUUUGAACUUUGCGCAACCUCAUUAUUAUUAAAUUAAAUUCAUUGAUCCCUCGCCUAGAGAGGGGAAAUCCAGAAAUACUCUGAUUGACUUAUAUACGGAUCUUAUUUUUUUUUAUUAUUUAAUUUAAACGAAAUUUAGUUGUCUGUAGCGCCGAUGAGUUGCUUUUCGUGCUUUGUUUCUCGCCGGAAAGAUGUGAGAAGGGUUGAAAUUGACAAUGGCUCUCGAUCUGCUACCGCUACUGCUACUUCUUCUUCUGAGAGUGAAAGGAAGAGGGAAUCCUCAGAGGGGAAGGGGAAGAAGAGUGUGAGUAGUAGCAGUAACAAAGGAAGUACGGCAGCGGCAAGUUUCGGUUUUCGCGAACUGGCAGAGGCAACGAGGGGUUUCAAGGAAGUGAACUUACUCGGGGAAGGUGGUUUUGGAAGGGUUUACAAGGGUCGUCUUGCAACGGGAGAGUAUGUUGCCGUGAAACAAUUGAGUCAUGAUGGUCGGCAAGGUUUUCAGGAGUUUGUGACGGAGGUUCUUAUGUUGAGCCUGCUGCACAAUUCUAAUCUUGUCAAGUUAAUUGGCUACUGCACUGAUGGAGAUCAAAGGCUUUUGGUUUAUGAGUACAUGCCCAUGGGUUCACUUGAAGACCAUCUAUUUGAUCCUCACCCAGACAAAGAACCACUAAGUUGGAGUACUCGAAUGAAGAUUGCUGUUGGAGCUGCUCGUGGCCUUGAAUAUCUCCAUUGUAAAGCAGAUCCACCUGUUAUCUACAGGGACUUGAAAUCUGCAAACAUCUUGUUAGAUAAUGAAUUCAACCCAAAACUGUCAGAUUUUGGGCUUGCUAAACUUGGACCUGUUGGAGACAAUACCCAUGUUUCAACCAGAGUGAUGGGAACAUAUGGUUACUGUGCGCCAGAGUAUGCCAUGAGCGGCAAAUUAACUCUUAAAUCUGAUAUAUAUAGCUUUGGUGUGGUUUUGUUGGAGUUGAUCACUGGACGUAGGGCAAUAGAUACUAAUAGAAGACCAGGAGAGCAAAACUUGGUUUCAUGGUCUCGUCAAUUUUUCAGUGACCGGAAAAAGUUUGUACAAAUGGUUGACCCUCUGUUACACGAAAACUUCCCCGUGCGCUGUUUGCAUCAGGCAAUGGCUAUAACUGCUAUGUGUAUCCAGGAGCAACCGAAAUUCCGUCCACUUAUUGGUGAUAUUGUUGUUGCACUGGAAUACCUAGCUUCUCAUAGUAAUCCCUGAAGUCCAUAGACAUGGUGGGCGCAGCUCACCACAACAGUCACCUUCAGAAAUGGACAGGAUUUAAUAUUCAAAGGUAUCUGAUUCUAGCUUGAGUUCCAUUUUGUAUGAUUUUGGGUGCAGAUUUCCUUACCGGUUUGGUCAGUGUAAGCUACCAACUUGGCUAUUUAAAGUGUUAUGUGUUAUUGCUUUAAUUAACUUAUUGCCACAGCAGUAGUGAAGAUAAACUUCUUGAUAUAGCAGUAGUAAACAUGUGAAUUGAUUUAAUUGCAAUGGACAUGAGUUUAUGCUUGUUUAGGCUUUAAACUUCUACGAGGCACCUAUAACACGUUUCUUGUGACUUGUUGA